UGGGGAAUCUUGCGCAAUGGAGGAAACUCUGACGCAGCUACGCCGCGUGCAGGAAGACACCCCUCAGGGGCGUAAACUGCUUUUGUACGGGAAGAACACCCGCCCUCGGGCGGGUCUGACGGUACCGUACGAAUAAGGACCGGCUAACUCCGUGCCAGCAGCCGCGGUAAUACGGAGGGUCCAAGCGUUGUCCGGAAUCACUGGGUGUAAAGGGUGCGCAGGCGAGCGUGUAAGUCAGGGGUGAAAGCCACCGGCCUAACCGGUGAAUUGCCCUUGAUACUGCACGUCUUGAGUCCCGGAGAGGCUAUCGGAAUUCGUGGUGUAGCGGUGAAAUGCGUAAAUAUCACGAGGAACACCUGAUGCGUAGGCAGAUAGCUGGACGGGUACUGACGCUCAGGCACGAAAGCGUGGGGAGCAAACAGGAUUAGAUACCCGCGUAGUCC
rnacentral:rRNA from 1 species